GCCACUGCUGCGUUCGGAUUGGAGCCGCUUUCGAGCUUCACCUUUUCCUAACCGUACUCUCGUAAUUAAAAGCGUUUCUGGUGUACGGAUGGAGGAAAUUUCUCGAUGAAUGUUCGACGUAUUUCGCGUGUGGUGAAAUUUUAGUGGACGCGAACGAUUUACACGCUGGCUGAGGAAACCAAUUGCAAGUUAUCUUGUGUUUAAGAGAGGCCGAUUUCUCGUGUUCUAACGAGUUUCACUGUGCCAUAUACGACGUAAAGAGAUGGGUUAGGCGUUUGUAGAAUACAUUAUAACGCAUUGGCGUCGAAGUGUCAAAUGUUUGCCACAUUUUAGGAAUAUUCUGAUAGUACAUAUACGUGAGUAAAUUCAUGGAACCUGUCGUGGUAGCCAUCUUGUUAAUAAUGCAUCUACCUGUAUUCAAAAGCAAUACAGUUUAGUAGGCAUAACCAUACUUAGCAGUCCGGAACAAGAAGACACUUCGUGCGUUAUGACGUCAUCGCGAAUGCCUGUGGUGACUAUAGAUGUCGCCAUUAUGUCUGCAUAUCCCAACAGCAUGACUAAUUAUGACGUAAUAUGUAUAAAUGUACGUAAAAAUGGAUCUGUGUUAUGGAGAACUUGUACGUGUGGUUAUAAGAAAUAAUUAUUCGACGAUAUUCAUGAUAUUAUACUAGAUGACAUUUUAUAUACGUCAUCACCUGUGGUAUGUGGAGAGCGAGUUUCAUGCGAGAAUCUUCAUUCAUACAAUCAGUUUAAGUGGCGCAUAAAGUACCAAGCGAAAAUGAAAGGGUAACAAUGUAAAGAGACUUCAGCUAGCCUGUUAUUAAGAUUGAUAUACCUUUUGUCUCGGUAAAAAUUAAUCACUGAUAUUAAGUUGUCACUGAACUAUAAUCGAGAUCAAAUGUUUUGACCCUAGAGAUCACCAUGAAGAUCUUGCUAUUUGGCAUCUGUCAUA